GACGAACGCUGGCGGCGUGCCUAAUACAUGCAAGUAGAACGCUGAAGGAGGAGCUUGCUUCUCUGGAUGAGUUGCGAACGGGUGAGUAACGCGUAGGUAACCUGCCUGGUAGCGGGGGAUAACUAUUGGAAACGAUAGCUAAUACCGCAUAAGAGUAGAUGUUGCAUGACAUUUACUUAAAAGGUGCAAUUGCAUCACUACCAGAUGGACCUGCGUUGUAUUAGCUAGUUGGUGAGGUAACGGCUCACCAAGGCAACGUUACAUAGCCGACCUGAGAGGGUGAUCGGCCACACUGGGACUGAGACACGGCCCAGACUCCUACGGGAGGCAGCAGUAGGGAAUCUUCGGCAAUGGACGGAAGUCUGACCGAGCAACGCCGCGUGAGUGAAGAAGGUUUUCGGAUCGUAAAGCUCUGUUGUAAGAGAAGAACGAGUGUGAGAGUGGAAAGUUCACACUGUGACGGUAUCUUACCAGAAAGGGACGGCUAACUACGUG
rnacentral:rRNA from 1 species